rnacentral:rRNA from 1 species
CUACGGGGGGCAGCAGUGGGGAAUAUUGCACAAUGGGCGCAAGCCUGAUGCAGCCAUGCCGCGUGUAUGAAGAAGGCCUUCGGGUUGUAAAGUACUUUCAGCGGGGAGGAAGGGAGUAAAGUUAAUACCUUUGCUCAUUGACGUUACCCGCAGAAGAAGCACCGGCUAACUCCGUGCCAGCGGCCGCGGUAAUACGGAGGGUGCAAGCGUUAAUCGGAAUUACUGGGCGUAAAGCGCACGCAGGCGGUUUGUUAAGUCAGAUGUGAAAUCCCCGGGCUCAACCUGGGAACUGCAUCUGAUACUGGCAAGCUCGAGUCUCGUAGAGGGGGGUAGAAUUCCAGGUGUAGCGGUGAAAUGCGUAGAGAUCUGGAGGAAUACCGGUGGCGAAGGCGGCCCCCUGGACGAAGACUGACGCUCAGGUGCGAAAGCGUGGGGAGCAAACAGGAUUAGAUACCCCGGUAGUC